UACGUAGGGUGCAAGCGUUGUCCGGAAUUAUUGGGCGUAAAGAGCUCGUAGGCGGUCUGUCGCGUCGGAUGUGAAAACCCGGGGCUUAACCCCGGGCCUGCAUUCGAUACGGGCAGGCUCGAGUGUGGUAGGGGAGACUGGAACUCCUGGUGUAGCGGUGAAAUGCGCAGAUAUCAGGAAGAACACCGGUGGCGAAGGCGGGUCUCUGGGCCACUACUGACGCUGAGGAGCGAAAGCGUGGGGAGCGAACAGG
rnacentral:rRNA from 1 species